CGGCAGGUAGACUAGCGGUUAGAGCGUCGAGGCGCCAGGUAGCCUAGCGGUUAGAGCGUCGAGGCGCCAGGUAGCCUAGCGGUUAGAGCGUCGAGGCGCCAGGUAGCCUAGCGGUUAGAGCGUAGAAGGCGGCAGGUAGCCUAGCGGUUAGAGCGUCGAGGCGGCAGGUAGCCUAGCGGUUAGAGCGUCGAGGCGCCAGGUAGCCUAGCGGUUAGAGCGUAGAGGCGCCAGGUAGCCUAGCGGUUAGAGCGUAGA